rnacentral:lncRNA from 1 species
CUGAUCUGAAGUGAUCUGCCCACCUCGGCUUCCCAAAGUGCUGGGAUUACAGGCGUGAGCCACUGCGCCUGGCCCCUUCAGGUGGGUAUUGAGGCUUCACUACAAUACUAGUUCCCCGUUGCUGCCGCAAUAAAUUACCACACACUUAGUGGCUUAAAACAGCACAGAGGUAUUCCUUUACAUUUCUGAAGGCCAGAAUUCUAAAGUCAGUCCCACUGAGUCAACGUGGGAGCAGGGUCAGUGCCUUCCCAGGCUCUGCGGGAGAAUCUGUUUCCUGGCCCUGGAGGCGGCCUGUACUCCUCAGCUUGUGCUGCCCUUCUCGAAUGACUCGCGUUUCCUGCUUUCAUCACUACACCUCCCACCGCUCUCCAUCACCUGCUCUGCUCUUAUAAGGAUCCAGUUUUCAGAAAAAUGGAAUAGUCGUAUCACUGAUCUACGUAAACAAGUUGAAGAAUUGUCUGAAAGAAAAUACAGUGUGUCUAAACUGGAAAAGUCCUGUAAUAGUUUGUUCAUGAGCAUUUACACAAUGGAGUUGCUGUUUCAUCAUGGGGGUACUGUGGACAAACCCAGGGCUGCUGACAUGAACUUAUGAAUUCAACACAUGAAGAUUUACAGCUUGACAAACCAGCUUCAGGAGGGAUUGUGCUGCAUUCGAACAUAGGUUCUGCCAUCAAACACAGAAUGCCCUGAUCCUUAGAGGCAGAGGCAGCUCUUCAGCCUAUGGGCUUUGCAGUCCCCAAAAAAACCAUGAAGCCCUGAGAGUAAUGAAAAGCUUCCUGACAUUGAGGUCACUGUGGAAGAACCACCUAAGCUAAAGAUUCUUUUGAGAACAAGGGCUAGCCUGUGGUUUCAUGGCCUUUCUUCCAUUUGGGGUUCUUGCCAAGUGGAAUUUAAAUGACCUCUUAUCAAGAUGGAUAAACCCAAGUUUCCCAGUGCUGGAAUACAGAAAAUGGAUGGACAAGAUGUCUUUUUGUCACUUCCAGCUGGAUCUACCAUGAAAGACGUCAGAGUCCAGGAAGAGAGACUGACUGGGCAACAUGUUAUUCAGAAUUAGAGAAGAUGAUGUGGUGAUGGAAGAAGAGGUCAGAGAGGGAGAUUUGAAGAUGUUGCAGUUCUGGCCUUCAAGAUGGAGUCAGGGGCUAUCUUCAAGAGAGAAGAUCUUGAUCUGUGGCCCAGGCUGCAGUACAGU